rnacentral:rRNA from 1 species
UGUGUAGGCGGUUCUUUAAGUUUGGUGUGAAAUCUCCCGGCUCAACUGGGAGGGUGCGCCGAAUACUGAGGGGACUAGAGUACGGGAGAGGAAAGUGGAAUUCCUGGUGUAGCGGUGAAAUGCGUAGAUAUCAGGAGGAACACCGGUGGUGUAGACGGCUUUCUGGACCGUAACUGACGCUGAGACACGAAAGCGUGGGUAGAAC